rnacentral:lncRNA from 1 species
UAUUUAUAAUUAGAAUUUUGAACCGGUAGUUUGGAAAAUCUACUCAUUUUUCAAAUAGGCUUUUUGCUCUCGGUAAAUCUAUCGCGCCAGAUAUAUGUUUGGAAGAAGUUAAUUAUAUAAAGUAUCGCAUUUUUAUAUUUGUCUGUUAAAUUAUUUCGAGGUCGGACCAUUUUAAAAUGCUCGUCGAGUAUACGUCCACAAAAGACGACGACGAUAGCUACCUUUUAUCGCGCCAUCCCAGAAUGUUUCGUUUUUCCCGCCAUACUAUUCUCGUCUUAAUAAACUAGCGUAUUUUAAAACUACGUACAGAUGUUAGAAAAACGGCCAUACUUUAAACCAGCCAGAGUGGCCGGGAUUGGCCCUCGGCUAGGUGACGCCUAAGCAGUCUCUCGAUGGCGGCCGUAAACCGCGUCAAAUUGGCCAAAAUACGGAUGGAAGAAAACUGGGAGAAGUAGGCGGUAACAGGUUGUUACGGUGUUCUUUACUGGUGGUCGGCUAAGAACCGAAGUACCUUACCAAGGUAUUUACGCAUUCGGAUAGUAAAUACCUUGGUAAAGUACUUCGGUUAGUUAUAGUAUUCGGAAAAGUAUAAAUCCGCACUAAGUAAUAUGUCGGCUUCGCUUCUUAUUUACUCCGCGGCGUGUAAGCCAACCGAUGCGACAGUUAGGUCGAAUAACUAUUAAAAUCUAUAUGUAUGGGACGGAUCCGUUUCAACCAUUAUAAACUUAGCGAGAAGGGUCAGCCGAGAGGAAAUCUACAAUACUCAAUUCGACUAAUCCGAUUGGCCAGGGCUCCCAAAUAGUCGUUUUGUUUAGCGGCACCAGUAAGAAACCCGAUACGUAUCCCAUUUUGCUAUAGACUUUCCCAGUCGGCUCGGACACCCGCUAUAAACUUUAUUUUAAAUCGUCAGGCGCUUUUAUCGAUUGGAGAGCGUAUAUGACAUAUAUUUAUGGCGCAUUUUAGCUGCCUUUACUCGAUAUAAAAUAUCGUAUAUAAAUGGAACGAAAUAUUUUCAAUUAAACAGAUUUAUUAAAAGGCGAUUAUAGAUUGCCUGGUGGUAGAAGAAAAGAACGGUGAUGGAAAUCGGAGAAUAUUUGAAUUCGAAUGAAAAGAACAUCGUUUCACUUCCAGACCAACUAACAGUAAUUAAUUAAGGCGGCAUUAAAAUUAAUCUUAUCUUACUGGCCAUUAAAAUAUAUCUUUGAUGACAAUUAUGCGGCGAGUAAAAAUUCUCGUAAACCAGAGUACUAUUUGAAAUUCUCGAAUAUCUGGUGAUGCACACUCGAAUUUUCAGCCGGCACCCAGAAAGCAAUUUCUUCCCAUUUUACUAAGUCCGUGCCAUGCUGGACGUCUGGGGUGCGGGAAAUACCGUUCUUCCCUUACACCACUACCACCAUUUAGUGGCUGUGGAUGCGGCUAAGACCAGAAUACCCGGGACAACAAAAGUAGCACCGAUGGAAAGAUGGCCGUAAACCGAAUAAACUUUCUAAAAGAAGCGUACGUCUGGCUGACCACCACCAGAUGCACCGUGAAAUUAAGAGACUCGCCCGCGUAUAAAACUAGCAUUGAAAAGUUAACUUCGAAUGAAUCUUUAAAACAACACGACUGUCGAUUCGUAUUUUUUAUUGUCAGUCGGUGGCAACCAAUCUUUAAUUGUCUAACGUAUAUCCGGAACACUCGGUAGUAAACCGCACCUCUAAAGUUUUCCAGAUGUAUUAGAGAAUGAAAAAAUAUUCACAUAUUCUUACUAAGCCCUAUAUGAACAAAAAUAAUCCCGAUGGAAAGAUGACCACCGAUAGAGAUAACUUUCCAUAACGACUGCGCUUCUAUCCGGGGCAGGCCUCGAGAAAAUGAAUAACGAAAUUAUAGCGAUUUCUCCACACCUAGUAUCUAAACCGGUGCGCGCCGCC